rnacentral:misc_RNA from 1 species
GCCCGCAAGCAGAUGCGCGCCGGACAGGCGCUGAAAGCGGCGGACCUCGGAAAGCCGGAUCUGGUCUCGCGCGAUCAGGGCGUCAUGCUGAUCUACGAAGCACCGGGCCUCUAUCUCACCGGCCGCGGCAAAGCGCUCGACAGCGGCACCGAAGGCGACAUCGUCAACAUCGUCAACCUGCAAUCGAAACGCACCGUCCAGGGCGUGGUGACCGGCCCCGGCCAGGUCACGAUCACCG